rnacentral:rRNA from 1 species
GAUGAACGCUGGCGGCGUGCCUAAUACAUGCAAGUCGAGCGAACAGACGAGGAGCUUGCUCCUCUGACGUUAGCGGCGGACGGGUGAGUAACACGUGGAUAACCUACCUAUAAGACUGGGAUAACUUCGGGAAACCGGAGCUAAUACCGGAUAAUAUAUUGAACCGCAUGGUUCAAUAGUGAAAGACGGUUUUGCUGUCACUUAUAGAUGGAUCCGCGCCGCAUUAGCUAGUUGGUAAGGUCACGGCUUACCAAGGCAACGAUGCGUAGCCGACCUGAGAGGGUGAUCGGCCACACGGGAGCUGAGACGCGGUCCAGACUCCUGCGGGAGGCAGCAGUAGGGAAUCUGCCGCAAUGGGCGAAAGCCUGACGGAGCAACGCCGCGUGAGUGAUGAAGGUCUUCGGAUCGUAAAACUCUGUUAUUGGGGAAGAACAAAUGUGGAAGGAGCUAUGCACGUCUUGACGGUACCUAAUCAGAAAGCCACGGCUAACUACGUG